UUCUUUUCACUUUGUAAUGUAAUUGUGUUUGUAGACUAAAACAACUUCAAAACAAAUCUUCAGACCAAACAUAACAGUUAAUCUGAUCUGAAAGAUCUCUUACAUAAUUUUCUAUUUAACAAUUCGUUGUCCCAAGCUCAACUAAUUCAAGUUCUCGAUGAACAAAUCGCUCUCUGCCAAAAGGUUUUUUAUUUUCAGACUCAAAAUCCGAGGCCUCUAGUAAAGGGUAGAGGGGUCCAAACUAUUCGACAACCCCCUCGAGGGUAAGUCCAGAUGAACAGUAGCACCACACUGAAUUACUCUUACAAAGAUGACACUCAUCAAUUCUAAUGAGAGCUAGCGGUAACAAAACAGGUAUAUUCUCUC
rnacentral:lncRNA from 1 species